rnacentral:rRNA from 1 species
GACGUAGGGUGCAAGCGUUGUCCGGAUUUAUUGGGCGUAAAGAGCUCGUAGGCGGCUUGUUGCGUCGACUGUGAAAACCCGCGGCUUAACCGCGGGCUUGCAGUUGAUACGGGCAGGCUAGAGUUCGGUAGGGGAGACUGGAAUUCCUGGUGUAGCGGUGAAAUGCGCAGAUAUCAGGAGGAACACCGGUGGCGAAGGCGGGUCUCUGGGCUGAUACUGACGCUGAGGAGCGAAAGCGUGGGGAGCGAACAGG